AGCAGUGCACCAAGCCCUCCUCUUGGCAGGAAGCAGCAGACUAGAGCAAGUGAGGGAGAGUCGAAGCUGGCGGGGGGGUUUUCCCAGACAACAGCCUGUCCCGUGCUGCUCCCUGCCAGCCCCAAAUCAGGAGUCCCCCCACCCCCGCACCACCGUGUUUCUAGUCCUGAGAGUGAUGGGCUGGGGGAUGGAGCCUCUGAAAAUUCCACGAAGGUAUGGUGCCCGGUCCAGGCAUGCCCUGUGGCCGUCUGUUGUUGAUUUUUAAAUCUGUUCACCCGGGAGUCCUAGUUCAGCUCAGCAGACAGCAGUAUUUGCUUAUUAAUUUGUUUAUUGAUUUACUGGGCUGUACUUGGGGCUUCUCCCGGGAAGGACUCCAGACGCGCUGUGCCGCCCAGCAUCCAGCCAUCCGUCAGACUCAGGUACUGCCCAGUUUUAGCAAUGAAAGUCCCACGUCACGGGAAACCUCUGAGUCCUGGACAAAUCAAGAUGACAUUUUCUAUGCAUAUGCAAGCAUGUCACCAGGAGCAGAGCACAGAGGGACAACACAGCUUUUGCGCUUCCAGCUGGCUCCCAUCAAGAAGUUAGAAGGGAGCCUGCAAACACAUUUCCUGCUAUCAUCUCUCCACCCCAGAAUGACUUUCCCUGGUAGAGCUGGGGGAGGGGAGGCGGGCAGCAGGCCCCCCAGGAGGCCCUGGGCAGGAAUAUUAAUACUCCAACUUCCCAGCACAAGAGGAGGGAGGAGGAGCGGCCACGGCGCAGUCCGGUCCUGGGGGCCCUGGAAGGUGGUUGCUGAGCAGCCCGUGGGAGGCACGGAUCCGCCAGCUCACGGCGGCAGGGGCCGCCCAAGUCCUAAUGAAAACACCUAGCUCCUGGCAGGGCGCAGCCGACACAUCGCCCUGCCUUCUCGGCCACCUGGGAGAGGAUGGGCGCCGCACGCGGAUACCCAACCUGCCGGGUUGUGCUCGCAGUGACAUCGCUUUUCUCCCGGCAAGUGCAUCCAUCUCGCUGGGUCUGGAUAGAUAACACAAUCUCUCUGCCCACACCCCAUUUGCUGGGAGACAGCCUGGGCUUCUCCAUUUUUUAUGGGCUCACUUAGCUUGGAGGAAAUCCAGAGGUCAAAGCCGGCGCAGACGCUCCAGUCACCUUGCCCGUCCGGGCGCGCAGCCAUUCCGAAACGGGCUCACCCACGGGGCCCUAAAUUACGGCGAUUACACUGCAAUUCGCAGCGCGAUAUUACUUUGAUACACUACCUGCUGCAGCUUGGCCCGGGAGGCGUGCAUUAUUUACCAGGGAGGCUGUCCGUACUGCGCACCAGAGCUGACAGCGCUCCGCGGGGUCCCUCCUGUCCCUACAGCCCCGCCUUCGCCCGCGGUGCGGGGUCUGGAGGCAGUGGGGCGGGGGCAGGGGGUCACUGGAGCAGCCCCGCUCUCUCGGAGUGACCGUUUCCUGAACGCAAUAUAGCCCGGAGAGGACCCAGUGGCGGAAGCGGCAGCUGGCGAUGAGGUUGGGGGUUAGUAGGUGGGAACAAGUGCUGAGCCCGCAGCUCCUCCUGGCUCUUAAGGACACCCAGACCCUCCUUAGCCGGCCUAUAAGGGCCCUUGUUGCGCGCGCGCAGGGACCCACACAGGGCCUGCCCAGGGGUGCAAGGCUGGUCCCUGGCCCCUGGCCAACUGUUAAAACGGCUAGCAGCCGGCUAACCCCACCGGCAGGCUCCAGGAUUUAGCCUGUGGCGGCUGGUGGCGGAGAUGGAGGGAACUCAGGCUACCCUCUUCCUCGGGCCCUGGAAGCUGCGUGCGCCUCAGCUGAGGCCUGAUUUCGCCGUGGCUGGGGGCUGGGGCCGGAGUUGGGCCCGGCUUCUCUCCGGCUCCCCCAUUACGGUUUGGCAUCAGCAUCUAGAUUGCAGGUUACUUCUGCUUUUAUCCAAAGCGGUCCUUAAGGGAGAUGGAGUUCUGAUUGAAAUCCAGUCAAUUGGCGCCGUGGCUCAGAGGGCCCAGCGUGAGCACACUUGUAGGGAAAUUGCCCUGGGUCUGAGAGGAGGGGCAGGGGUGGGGGAGGGAACAGGACCCGCAGGCCUGCUCUGGAGCCUGUGAACGCGCUGCUGCGAGGACUUUAGCGGAUGCGCUCAGGUCGGUAUCCGCGGGAGUCCUGGAGGGAAAUCCGCUCUCCUUCUCCAGCUCCCUGGGAUUGAUGGAACCAGAAACCUCAAGCAAGGGAUCCCCAGAGGUCACUGCGUCCAGUCUCCAGCCUCAGACAGUGUCUGGGUAGUGGAGGAGGGGCCGAGUCUGUGGGACCGAGCUGUCUGCUUUGGUGGGUGAAGGAGGGUGGACUUCUGGGGUCUGGGUUGAGAUGUGGAUUAGUUCCAGGACUAGUUCCUGUUACUCGUAGGCGGGGAGAGGUCAUGGUCCCUGCUGAACACAUCUGGCUGUGUUCAGUCCUGAACUGCCCUGGGCUCCUCAGCAGUGUGCACAGGGGUCUGGCCUCCAAAUUUCUUGUUAACAGCCCAUCAGGAGCUGGAGGAGCUGGCCUGGCCUUCAAGGUGUGGAGGGGUUCCUGGAAGGAAGCAGAUGGGCACACGGAGGAGAAGAAUGACAAAUCCAUGCUUCCCCAAUGCUGGGGAGAGAAUAUGGUGGUGGGGAGGAAGCAUGGAGACCAGAAGCAUUCCCGGGAAUGCUUCUGGAAGUAUCCCAGAAAUGUCAAGAGCUCAUUCUGCCAGCUCUUCCGGGGCCAGCAAAGAACAUACAUAUCAUUUCUCCAUCCACUUUGGGACCUGCCUGAGAUGAACAUAUGUUUUAAAAGGAAUCCCAAUUGCUGCAGGAGCAGAUGGUGCUACAGGGGCAGGCAAGGGCAGGAGAAAGGAUACUGGCUGGCAGUAGGGUAGGAGUCCUGGGCUCUGCCUCGCCCCUUCCUCUUACCAGCCGUGUGAGCUGUGUGGCUGCGGGCAAGUCACUCCCCGGCUCUGUGCUGCCCCAUUUUCCUUGUGAAGAAUGAGUGGGUCCCCUGUAGCAUGCAGGAUGAGCUGAGGCCUCACUCCCCUGCGGUGGAGAGGACAGAACACUCUCUCCAUCAGCAGGGAAGACAGAUUUUCCUAUUUAUUAGCCUGUUCAGCUGGCAGACACAGGGACUGUCCUCUAGGCCAUGGGGUGGGGAAGAGGGGGACAGAGCCCCACACCAGCCCCCGCUGUGUCCAUCCUCUGCCUGUGGCUGUUUGCCUGAUUGAUUUGUUUGGUGGCCUCCCUGGCUGGGAUUGGGUCCCUGUGUCCUCCUGCACAUUUGCCUCUGGUCCCUCUCUGUGUGGUCAGGAGGGGGAGCUCUAGGUGUAGGGGCGGAAGAGACUGGAACAUCUAUCCAUCACGGACUGACUCUUGGGCUUGGUAAGGAUCCUAACAACCACCGGGUCCACCUGCCACCUUGUGCUCCGGGCCCCUCCCCAGAAGCUCCCCCUGCAGUGGGAGGCUCACUGCCUCUCGCUGAGCCACUCCCAGAAAGUUCACCCUUUUCUGGAUCCCAAGUCGAGUCCCUUGUGUCAUCUCUCAUUCAUCCUAGCUCUUCUUGUUGGCCUAGGUGUGAACUCCAUGCCUACAGGACCACCCUUCAGAUAUUUCAGGGCAGCGAUCUUGUUCAUCCCCUACUCCACCUUCUUGGGGCAAAACCUGCCUAGUAUCCUCCCUGCUGCUUCCCAGUCCCCUCACACUCUAGCUCUGACAAGAAGUGAUUGAGCUUCCAGUCAGAUGUCAGAGGCCCUGGUCUCCAGGGAGCUUCUAGUCUGGGAGAUAGUCUUCCUAGGACCUAAAGAAUGAAUAACAAAAUCACACAGGCAUUUGGGACUGUUGGAUUUCCAACUGGUAUGGCUGCUGGUCUGGAAACCUCCUCAGAGGUGAGUGGGUUUAGUCGUCUUCCAUGUAGAGAAGUCUUCCUGUUCUCUCUGAAACAGCUAUGCUCCCCCUCCUCAGAGACUGUGGGACUACUGGGUGCUCCGAUGGCGCUGGUGCCUGCUCCGGAGAGAAGUGGGAGAGAAUACUUUCCAGUUCUUCCCACCUCCAUCCCCAUCCAUCCUGGUGUGGGUACCACAGAAACCUGAGGUCCAGGGGGAAGCUUUCCACAGUGGGACCACCUCAGUGUCUUCGGUCCCCAGGGCACCUACUUUUUCUCCUGACUUCCAGAAGAUGUUCCCAGAGGGGCUGGUCUACGCUGCAAGAGUGGGCCCGCCACAUCUAGGCCUCCACCCCGCCCCCAGCUCUUAAUUUAUUAUUAACUCUGGAACUGACUUUGAAAUUAUGGAAGGCCAUGUUGUUUCUUUCCUCUGCAUCUCUUAUGGUCCCCAAGGGGAGGCGAGCUGAGAGUGCCAGAUACACAAAUAUGCAGCGAAAACCCUGUGGAUUUUUGGUUCUAGCAAGGGGAAGGAAAUUAGCUGUAAUAAGCUGCUGUCGCCUCACUGGAAAGCCUCCAGCACAGACCCUCGGAGGGGCUCCUGGGCCCCCUUCCUCUGCUCUCCCCACUUCCCGGCUGCAUGGCUGAAGAUCUCUGUCUUCAGCUUCCCCUGCAGGGGAGUGGCCUCCUCCCCACCCAGUCCUGUGACAUCACUGAUGGAGAUGAUCAAUAUCCCGGGCCUGUGAGGAGGAGGAGGAGGAGGAGACUGCAGGCACACAGAGAAGUGGUCUCUGGCCUCUUCCCAAGCCAUUAGCUUGAAUGGUGGUAGGAGAGGCAGGUGGGAGUCAAUUUCCAUUCUCCUAGAAUUACUGGAAGGCAGAGGGUUAUUUGGAAGUUUCUGAAAGGUGUGAGGUAUUCAUUGGCCCUCACACAAAAGGAUCAGUAGGCUCUGGUCUUUCCUUUUUCCUCUCCUGAGGAGAGCCAAGGGCUAAAACCCUUAAGUGACUACCCCACAGCAACAGCUGCACUUAGGCAGAAAAUAGCCUGGGCUGUGACUGGAGCCCUGGAAGGAACUAGUUCUAGCCCUUUGCUGGCUAACUUGGCCCAUCCUGAUCUGGCAUUGGGCUUCUCUCUGGCUUCUAAUGCAAAGAACAUAACUCAAUCAAAUGGCAGAUAUGAUGUUAAGCAUUCAUUGAAUUGAGUGGUUAAGUUCCCCCAUAACUUGCUGUGUGACCUCUGGUGAGUCACCUAACCUCUCUGGGCUUCACAUACUUUAUAUGUAAAAGGAGAGCAGGAGUGAGAUGAGUGCACCAUUUCUAAGACCCAGGAGUAAUCAUGCUGGGACACAUGUUUUAUAACCGUGGCCCAAACGCUCUUUCCUUCAUGUCCACCAGCCAAAAUGUUGGGCCUCACUUGCCGGUAAUGCUAUUACAUGGAAGGUUUUACGGCCAACAGGACAGUCAUGAGCUUUCACUACUAAUAAUUAUCUUUGUGAUUUAAAAUUUUAGCAAUAAGAUGGAUUCUUACCAAUAUUACUAUGUAUUAGUCUGUUUUCACAUUGCUGUAAAGAACUACCUGACACUAGGCAGUUAAUAAAGAGAAGAGGUUUCAUUGACUCACAGUUCAGCGGGCUGUAUAGGAAACAUGGCUGGGAGGCCUCAGGAAGGUGCAUGGGAAGCAAGCACCUCUUUACAUGGUGGCAGGAGAGAAAGGGCAAAGGGGAAGUGCCACACACUUUUAACCAACCAGAUCUCAUGAGCCAGCACUAGGGGGAUGGUACUAAACCACUAGAAACCACCCUCAUGAUCCAAUCACCUCCCACCAGGCCCCACCUCCAACACUCGGGAUCACGUUUCAACAUGAGAUUUGGGUGGGGACACAGAGCCAAACCAUACCAUACCGUAUAUUUUUACUUUUUAAAAAACUUCCUAAGAUUUUUCCCUUGGAGAGACAACAGGCUGUAAGAGUGAAGAGUGUGAGCCCAGGAGUCUGUCUGCCUGGAUUUGAAUCCUGGCUCUGCCACCUACCAGCUUUGUUAUCUUGAGGGUGUCCCUUCACUUCUCUGUGCCUCCGUGUCCUCAUCUAUAAAGUGAGAAAAAUGGCUGGGCGUGGCGGUUCAGGCCUGUAAUCCCAGCGCUUUGAGAGGCUGAGACGGGUGGAUCACCUGAAGUCAGUUCGAGACCAGCUUGGCCAACAUAGUGAAACCCCGUCUCUCCUAAAAAUACUGUAGUCCCAGCUACGGGAAGCUGAGGCAGGAGAAUUGCUUAAGCCCAGGAGGUGGAGGUUGCAAGGAGCCGAGAUUGCGCCACUGCACACCAGCCUGGCUGACAGAGAUUCCAUCUCAACAACAACAACGACAACAAAAAGCAGCGGGGAAAAUAAUACAACACAAAGCUGCUGUGGUCUGAAGGGCUUAAAACAGUACCUGGUGCAUAGUUAGUGCAAGCUUACUGAGUGUUGAGUGUUAUUACUGUCAAUGAUAAUAAUAGAAUGCCUUUGAACCCUUCUCAGGAGAAGCAGCCUUUUUAUUUCCUCAUGUUGGCCCCUGCAUCUUUGCUAGAGUGAUCAAUUAGACACAUAUACUUUCUGAAAUUCUGAGGGCACCCAGUGGGAUGAUCUUUAAGGUAUACUUCCA
rnacentral:lncRNA from 1 species